ACAACCCUCCAAAAGCUUAGUGAAUCUCUGACGAACUCCUUUUGUCUUCUACUCUUUUACGACUUAUCUUGACGUCUCUCUUUCAUCACAUAUGAUGAAACUGAGCUACACAACACAGCUACACCUUCAAGAUAUCACAUUUUAUAUUCUUGUUUCAAUUCCCUUUCUUCCCAAGUCUGAACCGCCAAACUGACAACCCCUUCUUCCGACUUCCCUAACCCUUUAGGAUGACAAAGUUGGCCGCAUAUCGGCUCAAGCUUCGGCUUACACCUCUGGUAAGAGGUUGAAUUGAUACCCUAAUUGGAGUAGAAAUUGGUUUGCAAUACGCAAUGUUCAAAGUUGAGAGCACAUGUUCUAAUUAUUUUCUUUGAGAAAACUUCAGUGAACCUUCUUCAGAAUUUCUUGUACUAUAUACACACCUAAGAUCCUUGUUGCAGCUCACAAAUAUUUCAUUUCAUA